ensembl:lncRNA
GAGGGAGGGAGGUGGAGGGAGGAGGGGGUAGGUGGAGUGAGGUUGAAGUCCCACACAAGGGAAACCACUGGCAAAGGAGCGUUUUUAUUCUGUUCUCCUGUGAGCUCUCCAUGCCUCUCUCUGUGUUCUUCCCUGGGAGUCUGCAUGCACCUGUGUGUUCCCGCACUCCCGCUUCCUCGCUGGUUGCUUGUCGGCUGUUGUCUUAUUAGUCGCUCGUGCAGCAGCCAGCAGGAGAGGGAGGGGGGGGGGAACUCAACUGGACUUGGCAGACUCACAAUAACAAAACAAAACAAAAAAAAAGUCGUAGCAAAAGAGCCGUGUUUGGAGAGUUUUUUUUUUUUUUCGUCUCCAUGCUCAGAUGCAAGAACUCUGAGGAACAAAGAUGUCUCGCUGGAGUUGAAGGAUUGACAACAGGCAUACAUGUGUGGGUUGCUGUAGAUCUCCUGUCUUGGACCGAGAGCUGCGUCCAUUUCCCACAUGGUUUGUUGAUUUACGCUGAAAGCACCGGCCUGCAGCCCUCCUCAUGCCUGACUUCAUCCAAUUCUAGAGGACACUGGACCAUCAGGUCCAGCCUGUGCCACACUGAUCUCUCUUUCCAUUUUGCCUGGCCACCCUCGCUGUUUCUCUGCUCGGCUGAGCGGCAGACACACACACAGAGGACUGCGGCAGCCUCCCCCACCACCAGCAACUGGCUUUGA